CUAGAUGGUCAGAUUUUGCAAGCAUUGGAUGGAGGCUCUGAUGCGUUUGUUAUGGGAUUGAGUUCUGCUCAAUCACAGCUCUCAGUUCUAGAUAGUUCUUCGCGGCUUGGACUAAAGCCAUGGCAAAAAAACAAAGCCAUGUAUUGAGAUAUUGUGCAAUAACCAGGUUCUAUCACCAGAGAUGAGUUUGGCUACUGUGCGAACAUAUAUAUGGAAAAAGCCAGAAGAUUUGAUUCUUCAUUACAGAGUGGUCCAACCGAGAUGAUCACAGCUUCAGAUGUACAUGCUGACAUGGUUCUCAGCAUGGCUGCACCAUAAACGGUGUGGUUGAAGACACCCUUGGCUUAGCGAGGAAACCGUCAGAAAUAUUUUGCUCUUGGGCUCCGGUAGCCGCUCUCCUAGAAUCCCGACUUCGUUUGCUUCUUUGUAAAGUUCCUUCCUGAUCUUGCCCUGGUAGUAAGAUGUAUCAUAGCACAGGUAUAAGGCCCUCUGCUUUUACAUGUAGAAGAUUUGGGUGCUUAAUAAAGGUCAAAUGGAUUUUUUUCGUU